UACAGAGGGUGCAAGCGUUGUUCGGAAUUAUUGGGCGUAAAGGGCGCGUAGGCGGUGCGGUAAGUCUGCAGUGAAAUCUCUGGGCUCAACUCAGAGUCUGCUGUAGAAACUGCCGUGCUUGAGUGUGGGAGAGGUGAGUGGAAUUCCCGGUGUAGCGGUGAAAUGCGCAGAUAUCGGGAAGAACACCCGUGGCGAAGGCGGCUCUCUGGGACGGUACUGACGCUGAGACGCGAAAGCGUGGGGAGCGAACAGG
rnacentral:rRNA from 1 species